rnacentral:lncRNA from 1 species
AGAAGCGCUGCGCUCCCCUGCUGUGUGCUCCAAGGCGAUGCCACGUGGUGGGAGCGGCCGGCAGCCCCCUUAUUCACCCUGUGACUUCCGGCUCCACCCAAAGUCAAAACGAGCACAAAAGGGAAAUGUUUCGAAUCAACUCAGGA